rnacentral:rRNA from 1 species
CCUACGGGAGGCAGCAGUGAGGAAUAUUGGUCAAUGGCCGGAAGGCUGAACCAGCCAUGCCGCGUGAAGGUCAGUGCCCUAUGGGCGUUAAACUUCUUUUGUGCGGGAGCAAUAAUGGUCACGUGUGGCCAGACGAGAGUACCGUACGAAUAAGCAUCGGCUAACUCCGUGCCAGCAGCCGCGGUAAUACGGGGGAUGCAAGCGUUAUCCGGAUUUAUUGGGUUUAAAGGGUGCGUAGGGUGUGAGGUAAGUCAGCGGUGAAAUGCCCCCGCUCAACGGGGUGAAGUGCCAUUGAUACUGCCUGGCUGGAAUGCGGAUGCCGUGGGAGGAAUGUGUGGUGUAGCGGUGAAAUGCAUAGAUAUCACACAGAACACCGAUUGCGAAGGCAUCUCACGAAUCCGCGAUUGACGCUGAUGCACGAAAGCGUGGGUAUCAAACAGGAUUAGAUACCCGGGUAGUC